GGAAAGCGUGAACAUCUCACGCCAAGGGAAUAACAAUACGACAUAUGGAGAUAUGUAACAGCAUAAGUCAGAAGAGAAGAGAAGAGAAGAGAAGAGAAUUUAACUUCGAAGCAUGUAUUUUUCAUUGGAUGUGAGAAAUCAUUAGUACACUGAUAAGACCAAAGGUUCUGAACUUUUGUGGAAAGGAUUUCUAGAGUACUUUGUAAUGUCAGUAAGGAAAAUAACAAAAUAAGGAAAACGGAAACAGAAAUAAAGCUGUCUGUGGCGA